AACGAACGCUGGCGGCAGGCUUAACACAUGCAAGUCGAACGCCCCGCAAGGGGAGUGGCAGACGGGUGAGUAACGCGUGGGAACAUACCCUUCCCUGCGGAAUAGCCCUGGGAAACUGGAAUUAAUACCGCAUACGCCCUACGGGGGAAAGAUUUAUCGGGGAAGGAUUGGCCCGCGUUGGAUUAGCUAGUUGGUGGGGUAAAGGCCUACCAAGGCGACGAUCCAUAGCUGGUCUGAGAGGAUGAUCAGCCACAUUGGGACUGAGACACGGCCCAAACUCCUACGGGAGGCAGCAGUGGGGAAUAUUGGACAAUGGGCGCAAGCCUGAUCCAGCCAUGCCGCGUGAGUGAUGAAGGCCUUAGGGUUGUAAAGCUCUUUCACCGAUGAAGAUAAUGACGGUAGUCGGAGAAGAAGCCCCGGCUAACUUCGUGCCAGCAGCCGCCGUAACAC
rnacentral:rRNA from 1 species